UACGUAGGGCGCAAGCGUUGUCCGGAAUUAUUGGGCGUAAAGAGCUCGUAGGCGGCUUGUCACGUCUGCUGUGAAAUCCCGGGGCUCAACCCCGGGCGUGCAGUGGAUACGGGCUGGCUAGAGGCAGGCAGGGGAGAACGGAAUUCCCGGUGUAGCGGUGAAAUGCGCAGAUAUCAGGAGGAACACCGGUGGCGAAGGCGGGUCUCUGGGCCGAUACUGACGCUGAGGAGCGAAAGCGUGGGGAGCGAACAGG
rnacentral:rRNA from 1 species